ACCUGAAGCUGAGGCAGUGAUCAAUGAUUGUGAACCUUCAUGAAUUACUCAGCAAGAAAAAUAAUGAAGCUGACUUAUAUACUGUAAAACAUUGUUUACUUGUUGAUUUGGGCUUGAAGAGUUGUUGUCACAACAGCUGAGCCUGCCUACCAGUCUGCCUCUUGCCUGUGUCAUUCCUCCCACUCCACAUUGUAAACUACUGGUGGAUUUUAGCUAAGUUGAAAGAGAAGUGGAGAACAGAGAAGUAACACAUUUCCUGCCAGCUCUGUAAACCAAACACAUGGGGACAUAAGCAAGACCACAGAAAGAACCACCUCUCUUUUACCUUGUAACAAAACACUCCAUGUAGAAGACUGUCCUGGCUUAUCAAUGGCCCAGUUUGAGAUAGCCUUCAGUGAGCACUCCUGGUUACAAUGAGUCUAC